UGGAGGGAGCCGUCGAAGGUGGGACUGGCGAUUGGGACGAAGUCGUAACAAGGUAGCCGUACCGGAAGGUGCGGCUGGAUCACCUCCUUUCUAA
rnacentral:rRNA from 1 species